rnacentral:rRNA from 1 species
ACGGAGGGUGCGAGCGUUGUCCGGAAUCACUGGGCGUAAAGGGCGCGUAGGCGGCUUGCCAAGCGUGCGGUGAAAGGCUGGGGCUCAACCGAGGACGUGCGGAAGAAACUGCGAGGCUCGAGUCCAGAAGAGGGGGGCGGAAUUCCGGGUGUAGCGGUGGAAUGCGUAGAGAUCCGGAAGAACACCGGUGGCGAAGGCGGCCUGCUGGGCAGUGACCUCACGGUCAAUAGCUGACGCUGAUGCGCGACAGCGUGGGGAGCAAACAGGA